rnacentral:rRNA from 1 species
CACCUCUGCCAUAUCACCCUGCAGCCCAAGACCGGUUACUCACUGAAGCUAAGCAGGGCUGAGCCUGGUCAGUACCUGGAUGACAGACCACAUGGGAAAACUACAUUGCUAAGUGGU